rnacentral:rRNA from 1 species
UACGUAGGGGGCAAGCGUUGUCCGGAAUCAUUGGGCGUAAAGAGUGUGUAGGCGGUCCGGUAAGUCGGCUGUGAAAGCCCAGGGCUCAACCCUGGGAUGCCGGUCGAUACUGCCGGACUAGAGUUCGGAAGAGGCGAGUGGAAUUCCCGGUGUAGCGGUGAAAUGCGCAGAUAUCAGGAGGAACACCUAUUGCGAAGGCAGCUCGCUGGGACGUAACUGACGCUGAGGCGCGAAAGCGUGGGGAGCAAACAGG